AUUGAACGCUGGCGGCAUGCCUUACACAUGCAAGUCGAACGGCAGCACGGGGCAACCUGGUGGCGAGUGGCGAACGGGUGAGUAAUGCAUCGGAACGUACCUUUCAGUGGGGGAUAACGUAGCGAAAGUUACGCUAAUACCGCAUAUUCUGUGAGCAGGAAAGCAGGGGAUCGCAAGACCUUGCGCUGAUUGAGCGGCCGAUGUCAGAUUAGCUAGUUGGUGAGGUAAAGGCUCACCAAGGCGACGAUCUGAAGCGGGUCUGAGAGGAUGAUCCGCCACACUGGAACUGAGAGACGGUCCAGGCUCCUACGGGAGGCAGCAGUGGGGAAUUUUGGACAAUGGGGGCAACCCUGAUCCAGCCAUGCCGCGUGAGUGAAGAAGGCCUUCGGGUUGUAAAGCUCUUUCGGCCGGGAAGAAAUCGCACGGGCUAAUACCCUGUGUGGAUGACGGUACCGGAAUAAGAAGCACCGGCUAACUACGUGCCAGCCGCCGCGGUAA
rnacentral:rRNA from 1 species